rnacentral:rRNA from 1 species
AGAGUUUGAUCCUGGCUCAGGACGAACGCUGGCGGCGUGCUUAACACAUGCAAGUCGAACGAGACGAUUGAAAGCUUGCUUUUGAAAGUCGAGUGGCAAACGGGUGAGUAACGCGUAGACAACCUGCCGUAAAGAUGGGGACAACAGUCCGAAAGGACUGCUAAUACCGAAUGUUGUAAAUCUUCCGCAUGGAAGACUUACUAAAGGUGGCCUCUACUUGUAAGCUAUCGCUUUACGAUGGGUCUGCGUCUGAUUAGCUGGUUGGUGGGGUAACGGCCUACCAAGGCGACGAUCAGUAGCCGGUCUGAGAGGAUGAACGGCCACAUUGGAACUGAGACACGGUCCAGACUCCUACGGGAGGCAGCAGUGGGGAAUCUUCCGCAAUGGGCGCAAGCCUGACGGAGCAACGCCGCGUGAGUGAAGAAGGGUUUCGACUCGUAAAGCUCUGUUGUCGGGGACGAACGUGGAGACGGCGAAUAGCUGUUUCCAAUGACGGUACCUGACGAGGAAGCCACGGCUAACUACGUGCCAGCAGCCGCGGUAAUACGUAGGUGGCGAGCGUUGUCCGGAAUUAUUGGGCGUAAAGGGAGCGCAGGCGGGAAGGUAAGUCUAUCUUAAAAGUGCGGGGCUCAACCCCGUGAGGGGAUGGAAACUAUCUUUCUUGAGUGCAGGAGAGGAAAGCGGAAUUCCUAGUGUAGCGGUGAAAUGCGUAGAUAUUAGGAGGAACACCAGUGGCGAAGGCGGCUUUCUGGACUGUAACUGACGCUGAGGCUCGAAAGCGUGGGGAGCGAACAGGAUUAGAUACCCUGGUAGUCCACGCCGUAAACGAUGAAUGCUAGGUGUAGGAGGUAUCGACCCCUUCUGUGCCGGAGUUAACGCAAUAAGCAUUCCGCCUGGGGAGUACGGCCGCAAGGCUGAAACUCAAAGGAAUUGACGGGGGCCCGCACAAGCGGUGGAGUAUGUGGUUUAAUUCGACGCAACGCGAAGAACCUUACCAGGGCUUGACAUUGAGUGAAAGGACAAGAGAUUGUCCCCUCUCUUCGGAGACACGAAAACAGGUGGUGCAUGGCUGUCGUCAGCUCGCGUCGUGAGAUGUUGGGUUAAGUCCCGCAACGAGCGCAACCCCUAUUCUUUGUUGCCAGCACGUUAUGGU